GUAGACAGAGAAUAAUCAGGUGCCUCCCUGCGGUGCGAUGAGUUCUACACGGAGAUUACAGACACCGGGAAGUGAGGACGUAAUGGGAGGAGGAAAAGCUGACUUGGCACACGCCCUCUGUGCUGUGGGUCGCCCUGACCCAGGAUUGUACGGCAUGCCCUGACAGACUUGGGUGCGUCCUGCUGGAAGCCACGUGCUUAACUCUCACAUCACCGCAAGAAGAAAGAAAAGGAUUCCCAAAGGAAGUGACCCCUUGGUCCAAGACAGCCUCUUGAUUAAAUCUUCCUGUUAGAGCUUUGAGAAAAAACAGAGCCGAUUGGAUGAUGUCUUCUCCACUUUCUGAGUUGAUACUUUUAUAAAAUACAGUAAAAUUAUUACCAGUGAAUUACUGGAUAUCAAGAUGAAGAAUUUCAAGAUGAUUCUAGAAUGGCUGCUUCUAGGUAUAAUGAAGUAAAAGAGACUGAUUCAUUCUUCCCCUUAAAGCAAUUAGAAAACCAGAAAAAUAUAUGAAGUAAUGUUUUGUAGAUACUGGACACAAUACCAUGCAGACAUGUGAUCCCUUCAGAAAUGGUGCUAUGGUUUGAACGUAUGUGUCCCUCCAAAAUUCAUAUAUUGGAACUUGAAUCCCA